rnacentral:rRNA from 1 species
AUUGAACGCUGGCGGCAUGUCUUACACAUGCAAGUCGAACGGUAACAGGUCUUCGGACGCUGACGAGUGGCGAACGGGUGAGUAAUGCAUCGGAACGUGCCCAGUCGUGGGGGAUAACUGCUCGAAAGAGCAGCUAAUACCGCAUACGACCUGAGGGUGAAAGCGGGGGACCGUAAGGCCUCGCGCGGUUGGAGCGGCCGAUGUCAGAUUAGCUAGUUGGUGGGGUAAAGGCCUACCAAGGCAACGAUCUGUAGUUGGUCUGAGAGGACGACCAGCCACACUGGGACUGAGACACGGCCCAGACUCCUACGGGAGGUAGCAGUGGGGAAUUUUGGACAAUGGGCGCAAGCCUGAUCCAGCAAUGCCGCGUGCAGGAAGAAGGCCGUCGGGUUGUAAACUGCUUUUGUCAGGGAAGAAAUCUUCUGGGCUAAUACCCCGGGAGGAUGACGGUACCUGAAGAAUAAGCACCGGCUAACUACGUGCCAGCCGCCGCCGUAACAC